rnacentral:tRNA from 1 species
GGUAUAAUGGCAGAUUAGUGCAUUAGGUUUAAACCCUAAAAAUGAAUAACCUAUUCUUAUAUCA